rnacentral:miRNA from 1 species
GCCCGCGCGGAAUUGAGCUUC